UACGGGGGGAGCAAGCGUUGUUCGGAUUUACUGGGCGUAAAGGGCGCGUAGGCGGUCGGUGACAAGUCACUUGUGAAAUCUCCGGGCUUAACUCGGAACGGUCAAGUGAUACUGUCGGACUAGAGUACAGAAGGGGCAACUGGAAUUCUCGGGUGUAGCGGUGAAAUGCGUAGAUAUCGGGAGGAACACCAGUGGCGAAGGCGACUACCUGGCCUGUUCUUGACGCUGAGGCGCGAAAGCUAGGGGAGCAAACGGGG
rnacentral:rRNA from 1 species